UAGUAAUCGCGGAUCAGAAUGCCGCGGUGAAUACGUUCCCGGGUCUUGUACACACCGCCCGUCACACCACGGGAGUCGGAAAUGCCCGAAGUCUGUGACCCAACCUUAGGGAGGGAGCAGCCGAAGGCAGGUCGGAUGACUGGGGUGAAGUCGUAACAAGGUAAC
rnacentral:rRNA from 1 species